rnacentral:rRNA from 1 species
AGAGUUUGAUCCUGGCUCAGAACGAACGUUGGCGGCGUGCCUAAUACAUGCAAGUCGUGCGAGAAACUUCCCUUCGGGGAAGGAGUACAGCGGCGAAAGGGUGAGUAAUACGUGGACAAUCUACCCCGGAGUCCGGGAUAACUCAGGGAAACUUGGGCUAAUACCGGAUGGCAUCCCGAGACCACCUGGCCUUGGGAUUAAAGCUCCGGCGCUCCGGGAGGGGUUCACGGCCUAUCAGCUUGUUGGCGGGGUAACGGCCCACCAAGGCUUUGACGGGUAGCCGGACUGAGAGGUUGGCCGGCCACAUGGGCACUGAGACACGGGUCCAACACCUACGGGUGGCUGC